rnacentral:rRNA from 1 species
GUAAUGAAGCACAGAUAAUAACAUUUGUCAGAAAAGAGUAGGAGAGAAACAAACAGAGUACAAUUUGAAUGCUCAGAACAAUCAAAUUAAACACUACAGGGAAAACUAAGAACAAUCAACCUUAACUGCUGUAGGGAAGAUAAAAGUCGUCUCAAAUUAACUGCUAUUGGCUUUACUAAUCUACUAUUGUUCAGACUGAUUAUCAACUACUACAGGAAAAACCAAGAACAAUUGACCGCAACUAUUGCAUGAAAGAUAAAGCAUUCUCAAAUUCUUUUUUCUUUCCGAGUUGAAUGACUCCAUCCAGACCAAAUGACCAAGCUGGUCAUAAAAAGGGACAUAAAAAAUGUCGAUAGAAGUGAAUCAGUAAAAACAAAAACAAAAAACUGUAUGCGAAUAAUCAAGAUGGGAUGAGUGCUUUUAAGCACCAUGUCAAGAACCAGAGCCAUGGCGAAAAUUCUGGUGAUUUCAUAUGCAAAUAAACCUGCAAAAGUAGCAAGAUGACUCAGACUGACAAACAAAUCUCUUGACAGUGCUCUUUGGCAAGUGCUGCAGAGAUGGAUAAUACUCAAUCAGUCUCUAUACCAAUGUCUCCUGUAGGCUGGGU